AUCGAUCACAGAUUUACUGAGGCAGAGAUGGAGAAGACGAGUGCGGCAUAUUUUUCACCCGCUGAGCAGCAACUAAUUAUGGAAAUGUAUGAGGAGGUAAAGCAUAUAAUAUGCAGAAAAGGAAAUACGGCUGCUGUUAUUAAACAGAGAGAAAAAGCCUGGCAAACAAUAGUGGACCGACUGAAUGCAACAAAUGUGACUGGGCAAAAAUGAACCUGGCAACAAGUCAAGAUCAAAUAUAAAAACUGUUUGCAGGCUGCAGUUAGAAGACUCAUUUGUCUGGCACUGGGGGGGGGGGGCACCAGCUCCAGACUUCACCCCAGCUGAGGAAACGGCCCUUGACUUAAACCAAGGAAGGCCUGUGAUGGAAGGGAUUCAGGGUGGGACAGCUAUAGACUCUGAUUCACCUGCAGAAACUGCCCUCUUCAUACGAGUGUCCGGCGACACAGUCACUCUCAUGCCACCAGACGAUGAUCCAGUGAGUAUUAUUUAUUAAAAGCAUCUGGCUUGGCACAUCCUGUCAAUAUAAAUUAUAUUUAAUAUGGCAGGGGGAAGGGGCUGCUGCAGCUGAUGAUGAGGAGAUGUGUCACUGGACUCCAGAAGGCCUGAGGUAUCAUGUCAAUCUAAUGGAAAUGCAUAUUUAGCCCAUAAUGGAUGAGAAGUCAGUGAUGAAGCACUAAAAUGUAUGUAUGUAACAGGAUCCAGACGCAGUACAGUAUGACAGCCAGCCUGGCAACAUAGUAAGUACGGGCUAAUGGCAAUCUGAAUUAUGCACAAUUCCUGCUGUGCUAAUCAAUGGGUGGUUUACAGAAUUCACUAACUGUAAGAUGCCUGUAUACAUGACAUCUGAACAAGCAAAUAGAGCUGGCAGAUGCACAGAUUGCUGUAAGUAAAAGGACUCUCCAGGAUCUGGACCUUGGUAUAGAAAUCAAGAAGAGAACACUGAGGAAACUAGAUCUGGAGAUCCAGAAACUAGAAAAAGAAGUAAGUGACUUCAAUCCACACAGUUUUACAGAUGUGCUUACAAUGUAUUAAUCAUGUUUUUCUUUCUCUCUCCCAAGCUCCAAACUGACAAGGGACAGCACUAAAAUAAGAAGCAUUGUGGUGUUCCCUGUGUGAUGAAUGUACACUACACUAUGCAAAGUUAUUGGUUCAGUGAGGUGAGACGAAAAUUGAGGUUAUGAAACCAAAGUAAGCUACUAUAAUAUCAAAAAACAUUAGGCCUAAUUAAGGAGUAACACAAACAAUCCUUUAUUAGAGAAGGACAAGACAAUGAAAUCAUUUAUCUGAAAUAAUUUAUGUAUUGGUCUCUGACCAGCCUGCCAUUAAUGUCAUCUGGGAAUAUAGCUGCAUUGUCCCACUCAAUCUCCGGUGCCACUGCUGGACCCCUUUCCUUCCUCAGACAGGUAAUAUUAUGUAGGACCGUGCAGGCUACAGUAAUGUCACAGGCCCUGUCUGGGGUGACCCUCAGGUGGUGGAGACACUGAAAUCAUGACUUGAGAAGGCCAAAUGCCAUCUCAAUUCCGGCCCUUGUUCUUGCAUGGGGAAGAUUGUAUCCUUGCUGUGCUGCUGUCUGAGGGUCUGCAAGGGGAGUGAGAAGGUAUGUCUCACAGGCAUAACCCUUGUCUCCCAGCAGAACGCCAGAGAAUUCACCUGAGAAUACAAAAUGUAAUCAUUACAACUACACAUAAGUAAAACCUUUGACGCAAUUGUGUUUAUCAGGAAAAUGUGUGUGGCCUACCUUGUGAUAGUCGCUGGGAAAUGGUACUGGACCUAAAAACUCGGGAGUCAUGGACAGACCCAGGCCACUUUGCCUCCACAUUGGUAAUGAUGCAGGCAGCAUCACAGAUCAUCUGAAACAAUGCAGUGUUUCCUAUUCAGUAUACAUGUCAUGCACAGAAUACAUUUGGGC
ensembl:lncRNA